rnacentral:rRNA from 1 species
ACGUAGGUGGCAAGCGUUGUCCGGAUUUAUUGGGCGUAAAGCGAGUGCAGGCGGCUCGAUAAGUCUGAUGUGAAAGCCUUCGGCUCAACCGGAGAAUUGCAUCAGAAACUGUCGAGCUUGAGUACAGAAGAGGAGAGUGGAACUCCAUGUGUAGCGGUGAAAUGCGUAGAUAUAUGGAAGAACACCGGUGGCGAAGGCGGCUCUCUGGUCUGUUACUGACGCUGAGGCUCGAAAGCAUGGGUAGCGAACAG